rnacentral:tRNA from 2 species
GCCGAAGUGGUGGAAUUGGCAGACGCGCUAGAUUCAGGGUCUAGUGCCCGCAAGGGCGUGCAGGUUCGAAUCCUGUCUUCGGCACCA